ACCAUCUCCUAUUACCCCCAUUCGAUGCAUCAACUCUGUAUAGAUCGGAACAAGUUCUAAAAAGGGAACGCGAGAAGAACCUUCAGGGAAUCAGCUGGGCUUCAGUGGCAGAGCGCCUCUCCAUAGGUUACCCAUUGUACAAAGCCAUCUGAAAAUUCCUCCAACACAUCAGAAUUAUGGGAGUAAUGAUACGAUAGCUCAGUUGCAGCAUGCUCCCUUCCCUGGAGAGAGAAGUAAUAGCUAUGCCAUUCAGAACAAAGUCAAAUAGUUUAUCGUUA